rnacentral:rRNA from 1 species
CACUUUUAGUUGCAUCAUUAAGUUGGGCACUCUGAAAGAACUGUCAGUGAUAAGCUGGAGGAAGGUGGGGAUGACGUCAAGUCCUCAUGGCCCUUACGUGUUGGGCUACACACGUGCUACAAUGGNAUCUACAACAGGAAGCAAAACGGCAACGUUAAGCAAAUCCCGAAAAGAUGCCUCAGUUCGGAUUGCACUCUGCAACUCGAGUGCAUGAAGCUGGAAUUACUAGUAAUCGUGGAUCAGCGUGCCACGGUGAAUGCGUUC